UACGAAGGGGGCUAGCGUUGCUCGGAAUCACUGGGCGUAAAGGGUGCGUAGGCGGGUCUUUUAAGUCAGGGGUGAAAUCCUGGAGCUCAACUCCAGAACUGCCUUUGAUACUGAAGAUCUUGAGUUCGGGAGAGGUGAGUGGAACUGCGAGUGUAGAGGUGAAAAUUCGUAGAUAUUCGCAAGAACACCAGUGGCGAAGGCGCUCACUGGCCCGAUACUGACGCUGAGGCACGAAAGCGUGGGGAGCAAACAGG
rnacentral:rRNA from 1 species